rnacentral:rRNA from 1 species
UCCCGGCAGUCCAAGUUGCAACCAACUUUAUUGGGUCUAAAACAUCCGUAGCUUGUUUAGUAAGUUUCUUGUGAAAUCUGGCAUCUUAAGUGUCAGGCGAGCAAGGGGUACUACUAAGCUAGAGACCGGGAGAUGUAAGAAGUACAUUCGAGGUAAUGGUUAAAUAUGUUAAUCUUGAAUGGACUAACAAUUGGCGAAGGCAUCUUACAAGAACGGAUCUGACAGUGAGGGAUGAAAGCCAAGGGCGCAAAAC